AUUGUUCGUCUGAGCUAAGAUCAUGUGUAGUGUCUAUUCUUUGCAGUGUGAUUUCUGCAACAGUCUCUAAACUAAGACCGAUGAAAUUACUUGUAUUAUUCCCUUAAGGACGGGAGCUGUGUGCAUGUUCAGCCCCGUCCAAGGGUCGGCCGUGUAUUGCAUUAUCUCGAGGAUUGGCAAACUAGUU
rnacentral:snRNA from 1 species